rnacentral:rRNA from 1 species
UACGGAGGAUGCGAGCGUUAUCCGGAUUUAUUGGGUUUAAAGGGUGCGUAGGCGGACUGUCAAGUCAGCGGUAAAAUUGAGAGGCUCAACCUCUUCCCGCCGUUGAAACUGGUGGUCUUGAGUGGAUGAGAAGUACGCGGAAUGCGUGGUGUAGCGGUGAAAUGCAUAGAUAUCACGCAGAACUCCGAUUGCGAAGGCAGCGUACCGGCAUCCAACUGACGCAGAGGCACGAAAGCGUGGGGAUCAAACAGG